CUGAGGUGAUGUGAGUCAACUUUUGUAUUCUCAAAUGCAUGUUCAUCCUCACGCUUGGUGUUGGAACUGGCGUGCAUAUUAAACACAUUAAUCAGCUUCAUGUGGCACCUACAAGUCAGUAAAAACAAUUCUCAUGUUCUAUUUGAAGAGUUGGGAUUAGUUGUGGGUCUUGUUUUUGAGCUCUUGUUGUUGCACUGCUGCUCACAUGUGCAAAUGAAGCUGGCGAUCUGUGGAUUGCACUCAUGAGUCUGUCCUGUGUGAGUGGACGUUGCACUUGCUAACACUGCGGGAGAUUGCAUAGUCCACUAGAGGAUUCUUUCAGCUUCGGACAGUUAUGGAAGCAAGGAGUCGUCUGGAAGAAUGUGCGCCUAGGGGAGUUUAUAGGAGGCUCGGUAUGCUGGAGUGAUGAGGCUCUAAGUGUAAGAGAUCUUCAAGCUCACCGUCAAGCUCUGGAUAAAUUCCAUGCCCACAGGUUUACGUACUUAAACCAACAGGAUUUUGUGGUUGAUUUGUUUUUUAAAGGUAUUCAUUGCAAACUUCACUGUCUUAGCAAACAGUUUCCAGGUUAAGCUUGACCUUCGUCAUACAGUACACCCUUCAAAAGCAGUUGAUUGUCACUUUUCUAUGUUGCUCUUGACGAUGAAAUAGAACAAACCAAUCCGCUGGAAAUCUGAGCAAGUAUUUUGCAGAAUUAAAGCCCUAAACUUGGUGUUAACAUUGAUUGAGGCAGAGUGCAGAUAAGGCCUGGUCACCCAGAACUCUCUCUCGCUCCUGUACCUUACUGUUCUCGUGCUUGGACCAGUCUGAAGCAUGUGUACCAAGCUUAAAAGUUUUGAUGCCUUGGAGUUGUGUUGUUUAAGUUGUCAUUCCAACAUUAAAAAAUCGGCCACUUAGCGAAACCCAUAGGAACAUACAUUUGUGAUAUUGUAGCUAGAAUUAAUCUCGGCUACAAUCGAUUUGGAUGGGGUAGAUGCUUGGUGGAGUUGGUGCACUGGGAGAGUGAGGGUGCAACUUUUAGGAGAACUUCAAAUCUAGUUUCUGUCUACGAUAAUAUGUUCAUGAUUUUAAAAUAAUGGCCUUUAGUCAUA